GACGAACGCUGGCGGCGUGCCUAAUACAUGCAAGUAGGACGCAGUUGCGAACGGGUGAGUAACGCGUAGGUAACUACCUAUUAGAGGGGGAUAACUAUUGGAAACGAUAGCUAAUACCGCAUACUAGUAGAUGGACCUGCGUUGUAUUAGCUAGUAGGUAGGGUAAUGGCCUACCUAGGCAACGUAACAUAGCCGACCUGGGGGGGUGAGCGGCCCCCCUGGGACUGGGACCCGGCCCAGACUCCUCCGGGAGGCAGCCGUAGGGAAUCGUCGGCAAUGGGGGGAAACCUGAGCGAGCAACGCGGCGUGAUGGAAGAAGGUUGUCGGAUCGUAAAGCUCUGUUGUUGAGGAAGCGGUACUUAACCAGAAAGGGACGGCUAACUACGUGCCAGCCGCCGCGGUAAUAC
rnacentral:rRNA from 1 species